UGAGGAAUUUUCCGCAAUGGACGCAAGUCUGACGGAGCAACGCCGCGUGCAGGACGAAGGUCUACGGCUCGUAAACUGCUUUUACCAGGGAAGAGAACGGACGGUACCUGGAGAAUAAGCCCCGGCUAACUACGUGCCAGCAGCCGCGGUAAUACGUAGGGGGCGAGCGUUAUCCGGAAUUAUUGGGCGUAAAGCGCACGCAGGCGGUCCGGUAUGUGUGGGGUAAAAGCUCCUGGCUUAACCAGGAGAGGUCUCCAUAAACGGCCGGACUUGAGAGCGAGAGAGGGACACGGAAUUCCAGGUGGAGCAGUGACAUGCGUAGAUACCUGGAGGAACACCAAAGGCGAAGGCAGUGUCCUGGCUCGUUUCUGACGCUCAGGUGCGAAAGCUAGGGGAGCGAAC
rnacentral:rRNA from 1 species